rnacentral:rRNA from 1 species
AUGGUGUUGCUUGACAUUAGGGGUAUGUUGCAGUCCAUGGGCAAAGACAUAGCUGAUUUCGCUCUUCCAUGCAUUGACGAUGCGUUCGACCCAACCGAGGGAGAGGCCAGAGAAGUGAUCGAGGAAUCCAACGUCGAUUUUGACAUCAACGACACUAAAUUGGCUUCGUCGCUAAACUUGGAGCAGAGGGCUGCAUACGACGAGAUACUAGCUUCUGUUGAACGCGAUGAUGGUGUGUUCUUUGUUGAUGGACCGGGAGGUACAGGGAAGACCUUCCUGUACAGGGCGCUGCUCGCCAAGGUUCGAAGCGAGGGAAACAUCGCUAUCGCUACCGCGACGUCAGGCGUCACCGCUUCUAUCAUGCCUGGAGGCAGGACUGCCCACUCGAGGUUCAAGAUCCCAUUG